rnacentral:rRNA from 1 species
GACGAACGCUGGCGGCGUGCCUAAUACAUGCCAGUAGAACGCUGAAGAGAGGAGCUUGCUCUUCUUGGAUGAGUUGCGAACGGGUGAGUAACGCGUAGGUAACCUGCCUUGUAGCGGGGGAUAACUAUUGGAAACGAUAGCUAAUACCGCAUAACAAUGGAUGACACAUGUCAUUUAUUUGAAAGGGGCAAUUGCUCCACUACAGGAUGGACCUGCGUUGUAUUAGCUAGUAGGUGAGGUAAUGGCUCACCUAGGCGACGAUACAUAGCCGACCUGAGAGGGUGAUCGGCCACACUGGGACUGAGACACGGCCCAGACUCCUACGGGAGGCAGCAGUAGGGAAUCUUCGGCAAUGGGGGCAACCCUGACCGAGCAACGCCGCGUGAGUGAAGAAGGUUUUCGGAUCGUAAAGCUCUGUUGUAAGUCAAGAACGGGUGUGAGAGUGGAAAGUUCACACUGUGACGGUAGCUUACCAGAAAGGGACGGCUAACUACGUG